UACGAAGGGGGCUAGCGUUGCUCGGAAUCACUGGGCGUAAAGGGUGCGUAGGCGGGUCUUUAAGUCAGGGGUGAAAUCCUGGAGCUCAACUCCAGAACUGCCUUUGAUACUGGGAGUCUCGAGUUCGGGAGAGGUGAGUGGAACUGCGAGUGUAGAGGUGAAAUUCGUAGAUAUUCGCAAGAACACCAGUGGCGAAGGCGGCUCACUGGCCCGAUACUGACGCUGAGGUGCGAAAGCGUGGGAGCAACAGG
rnacentral:rRNA from 1 species